CAGUGUUACAGUUCUUUUAUAAUUUGUCUAGCAGGCUCUCUGGACUAUGUCGGAAAGCCCCU
rnacentral:snRNA from 1 species